UUUUGCAACUUUAAAAAAAAUAACUUACGAGUGUAAAAUAAAUUCCAUAUCCAGUAUUCACUUGUUGUGUAACCUCUAUUUAUACCAUCUAUUGUUAGACAAGGACUAAGAUACUAACCCUUUUGUUUCGUAAAACACCCAGUAGAGAAGAUGUUAGGUAUGUCCAUAAUGUUACACUGAAGUUUACUUCAGGUAAUAAACUAGACAUUAGUCUAUUUAACAAUCUCUGCUCAAAGUAUCAUGAAAACAGAAAGACGCUGCUUGUUACAGUGAAUUAAAGUAAAAGAUUUUUUUUUUUUUUUUGCUCAAAUGCUACUUCCUGGGAAACACAUUGAUAGGUGCAAGAAAAUUUUUAGGACAAACUAGCUGUCAAUCAAAUCAUUUCUAAAAAUAAUAUCAUGCGUCAUGGCAGAUGAAGGUUACUUUAAUUAAAUGAUAUACAGAAGAUUUACUGCAGUCGGCACAAGAAUACGGCAGUGUUGAAAUAAAGGGACAUAACGGAUAAAUAAAGAUUAUAGAAAUAUAUAUAUACAUUUUUUAAAUGUAUUUGCAGAAAAUUUUCCUGAAACAACUAUCUGAAUUCACGAUAUUUUGUGAUAUAUUUUCCAUCUAUGUUCCAUACCAGUGAUACUAUAUAUAGAUCACGAAAACCAUUUUCCGGGUAUGUAUCAGAGGGGACUCUUGCGUUUCGGAUAUCUUGUCCUUUGAAUAUAUUGAUAUAAAAACUUAUAUUAACAAACAAAGUGAAUUCAGUUAAUUCUGCUUGCCGCCUUUUCCAACCAAGACUGAUUUUUUUUCAGUACUAGUCAGUUGCAAAAUCGACACAUUUGAGGACAUAAAUCGGGUGUGUUUGUGGGUUUUGGUGGGUGUGACAUCAUAACAAAUGUAUAUCUCUAUUUUGUCUACCAUCAGGGUGUUUUCUUACUAUAACAGCAGGUAGGGUGGGAAUUGGUGAUGGUAGUGGGUAGUGGAGAGUAUUUACAUACUGUUAACCAGUUUGGGUGUGGAUGGAGGGAUGGGGGCCGGGGAGUCAAAUCACACACUAUAAACUAGUUUGGGUGUGGAUGGAGGGAUGGGGGCCGGAGAUAUACUGUCAAACCAGUGUAGGGUUGGUAGUACUGUCACAAAAUUUAUAUAGAAGUUUCACAUUCUCAAUGUUGACAAAUGCACCUUAAACAUUUUAAUCUUAAACUGGACAUCGAAGGUCAGUAUAAGGCAGCUGAAAGCAAUUCCAAGCCAUAACAAUGUUUAUGGAAUAAUUCCUCAAGAAAGUCUUUAUUUUAUAAAUGAUGUCAAAUUACACUUUAAUUCUGUUCUUCCCAUUUUACGCCAGAAUGAAAUGAUGAUAAAAAUUGUUUGUGUAAAUGUGCGUGAGAGGUAAAAAAUAUUUCCUUCCGAUGUCAGGAAGAAAAGAGAGGCAUUACCAGACGCUGUUUAAGCAGAGAUUAUUGUGAGGGCGUCGAUGUGAUAUAUUUGCUGUUUGAGCCGUACCAAGGCUUAAAAAAUGUUGUUGCGUGCUUUUGGUGAUGAAACAAAAGCUGGCAUAUGUUAUGUUAUUGUUGUUAAUGAAUUGUACAUAGUUGUAAAUAUGUAAGGCUGUUUGGCUAUGUAAAUAUCAGCAUUAAUUCUGUUACUUAUUAUAAUGUAUAUAAAUGACAGUUAUUGUAAAUAGACCUGUAUAUAUAUAUAUAUAUAUAUAUCUAAUUGUGUGCGUCCGUUACUAUAUAUAUCCAGUAUUACUUUAAUGCUGGUAAAUCUGGUUAAAACUACAUCUGAAUUUAUUAUCCUAUCAAAACAAAGCUAAAUAUCUGAGGUAGUCCGUAGUAGUCCUUUGUGACAAUCUAAAUAUCAAAAUCAUAGAUAUACAUACACUACACUAUCUCAAUACAAGAUUCCAAUCUAAUAUGAGAUUUAAUGUAUCAAAAUAAUUUCCAACCAAAAUCAUGAAUAAUUUUAACACAAAAUUAAUUCAACAGGAGCAAAAUAUGAAGAAAAUAUGUAUAAUUUUAACACAAAUUAAUUCAACAGGAGCAAAAUAUGAAGAAAAUAUGUAUAAUUUUAACUCAAAAUUAAUUCAACAGGAGCAAAAUAUGAAGAAAAUUGUAAUUACAUAAAGAUUCUUGAAAAGUGGACAAGGCUGGUAGGACCAGGUGUUUCUAAAGGUUAAUCAUCUUCUGUUUCAUUGAUGACAAUAACCAUGUUUUAAAUGAUAUACUUGAUAUCAAAACCUGAUUAUGCUUUUGAUAUCUACCUCAGAUAUUAAGUGGAUUAUGAUAGAUAUAAUAAAUUUAGAUUUAGUAUUAACCAGAUUUGUUCACCAGCUACAACAUACCUUCGCAUUUAACAUAGAGACUUACAGGGAAAUUGAACACGAUCCGAUCCUCUCUAAUCUAGGUCUAUAGAAAUGAGAUGUCUCAAUGGAAUUAAAUCAGUUUUAAAUAUCUUUCUGCAUCUCCAAAUGUUUGUCAGGUAAGGCUGAUAUGAAGUUCUUUAUGGGAGAAAGAUAAUACUGGUACGCUAUGUACUAUAUAGGUAGUGGCAUAGCUAGGUGAAAAUCAUAUGGAUGCUUUAUAAUUCUCUCUGUCUAUUUCUUAACUCAUCUUUUUUUUUCGAAAAAAAAAUAAAAUGGUAAUGCUUUGGCAUACAAGCAUAGAUAAAAAUGUAAACUUAAUCAAUUUUACAACAACUGCGAAACAAGUUAUCUCAACUUAUAUAAGUCACGCUUUUUGGCCUAGAUUGAAUUGUGCGAGGGGUCUUACUGUGGGAGGAAACCGGAGUACCCGGGGAAAACCCAUGUGGUCGGGCAGGUGACCCCGUACCUUUUCACGUCCAGUCGGGGAAUCGAACCCCGGCCGCCUUGGUGAAAGGCAAGUGUGUUACCACUCUGCCACCCGACCAACUUUAAUAGAUAGUAACGGCACCAUUGACAGGACAUGGGGAUAUUAGCCCAAGUUUCCUCUGGCCCUGACACCAUGUCUGGUGUAGGCUAGGGCCAGAGGAAACUCAGGCUAGGGGAUAUGUGAUUUGGAGAAGUAGAUAUGUCAUAGAGGGAGAAUAUUUAUGAUGGUAGGAUGAUAUGUAAUAUGGAGGAUAGGAGAGAAUUGGAUUUUGUGACAUUUUCCUGUGGCUUUUCUUUUAUUAUUUAGACUGUAUUGUUGUGUAAUGAGAAAGAUUGAUGACAAUCGUUUGUAAAUAUGCAAAGUAUUUGUGUGUAGCAAACCAAUAUCCUUUUCCUAUUUUGAUUUUUGGAGGCUUCGAUGAAUUCUGUCCAUACAAGACAUGUGCCUAUAAUUUUAAUAAAGGACUGUUUAAAUUCAUGUCUGACAUUUUACUGUAAAAGAUGUAUUUUUUGACGGUUCAAAUUUUAGCGGUUUUACAAGAAAUUUGAAACAGAACUUAUUUUUUUCUUUGAUUUGAUAGAACGAAAUGGUAAUUUUCCCAUUUGAUGUUUUUUUCAAGGUAUCUAUUUUUUUACAGUUGUAUUUUAUUCUCGAAAAUAGCAGAAAACCUUGGAAAUAAAACCUUCUUAGUAUUUUUAUUUUCCUACAGGGAAUAUUAUGUUAGUUACAGUUUAUUGUCCUCAAAUUUAACAUGGAGUUUAUCCUGCAAAAACAAGUGAAUACUCUUCUAGCAUGAAUAUUGAAUGAAUUCAAGUAAAAAUGUAUAAAAGUCAAACAAAUCGGUCUUUUACGGUGAUCGAGUUUGUCAUUUUUACACAUCUUAACAUAUACUCUGUUGAAAGUACUCAAGAAAUAUAAGUUAUAUACAAACAUUGUAAUGUUAAAUUUGUAAAUCCAUUUUACUUUGUCAUGAAUUAUUAUAAAAGUUGUUUUAAGUGGUGGUAAUAUUGAUGAAGAUCUCACGAGGAUUUAUGGCAAGGCAUUAACCUUAACACGCGUGCGGGUGACAUCACAAAUGUAUUCUUCUAUAAUGUAGCGUUAAAUUCUACACGCUGUUAAAACUAAAUACAUGGGAAUUAUCCAGAAGUGAUCUUGUUAAAAUUUAAAAACAAAAAAACAAAAAAACAACAUUUGCUCGUAAAUGAGGCAGAUAUUGCUAAAAAGAACAAAUCACUUCAAAGCAUCUUUAAAUAUGCUGACCAUUUUUGAAGUAUGUCAUUCCGUGAAGAAUUGUCUUUGUAUUAUGGAGGUGAAUCUCGUGUCUGAUGUAGUUUACCUGUAGGCAGUAAUGAUUUAUCUAAGCGAUUUUCCAGCUAGACAAGCUUGUAUACAAUUUAUAACUAUUCGACUAAAAAAAUAUUGAAACAUAUACCAGUGCAUUUAGAUCAAAGAUUUUUUGAGGAUUUCUUGGGUUAAGAACAUGUAAGUUUUUGGUAAUAGAAACUAUCGUAAACUAGAUCACUAUUUGGCAAAUACAGCUGUAAUGUAUAGAAAUUAGGUUCUCCAGAACAGUUUCUUUUUUUCUUCUUAUUUUUUUUUAUCUUUAGUUAUUUUGGGCAAAAUAUAAAUCAUGCAUGGAUUUUUUUUUUUUUUUUUUUUCAAAUGUUUAAGCAGAGACACAUACAUGUAUACAUAUGUGUCUCUGGUUUAAGUGAAAAAUUCUGAAAUUGAAAGUUAAGCAUGAAAUCUAGCAUUUAGAAUAUGCGGCUGUAUAUAUUGUGGCUAUAUUGUCGCAGAUGUAUACUUUAUUGGCCGGUACACAACGCAAGUGUUUAAUAUAUAUUACGAAUCCAUUGACUAACCUGUUGAUGUAAAACUCCGAAUAAAGGAGUAUAUACAUGUAUAUAUGUAUACGUACUGUCAAUGGAAUAUUCUAUAUCAGCUGUUGUAGCUAGGGAACAGACAAAGUCAACAUUUGUGUUAAGUAUGAUCACACCAACGUGUCGUAAUAAAUGUCUGUACUUCAGUCUAGGUCGGGGGUGAUAACAGUAUCGUUCGAUUCUCAAGGGUCACCUAAAGUACUUAGGGCGACUCGUGGAUAUCACCAGAGACAUAUAUACGUCUCUGACAUCACACAGGAUUAGUUGCUCAAAUGUUUGUGUAUUUUUUUCCCUAUGAAACUAUUGCUAUCAAAUGUAAUAAACUUGAUGUAAGAUGCAGUUUAUGUAGAUUUAUUAAUGAAUCAUGAUAAAAUUCAGAUAUCACAAAUGGAUAGAAUACAAGUGCUAAAAUUUGAAUUAAGGAAGUGAUGGAAUGUGAACCACGUGACUAACACAGGGGGUAACCAUCCGGAACGCCUCGGGUUUUUAUUUUCAAAAUACACAGUCGGAACCCCUCGUCAUUUUCUCCGUUCGCAUUCGGAGGCGAGGUGUUCCGAUUGUCAAAAUACACUGUAUUUUCGAGGAAAAAAUACGAGGAGUUCCGGGUGAGGGCAACAAGCGGAUACGUAAUGGUGGGAUAAUGGUACAUCAACAGUCCAACUUAGGGACGAUGAUGUUUGGAUGAUCAGGUGUCCAGGAACUCCCAGAGUGACAAUUUACCGCUCUAUGAACUGUGUCUGUCCCCUGAGAACAUUUGUUUGAAUUGACAUGAAAUAAAAUGUCAGAAAUAA